GGCAUGAAAAACCAAGAUGGAGGUCUGAACUGUGAGUCUCCUGCAUGGCAGCAUAAUGUAUGUCACCGUCACGCCAAUAAGCCAGCCCUCAAAAGGGCGGUUUUGUUACUGUUGUAUCUGUGUAGCAUGGUAAACACUCAUCAUCUUCCUCCUGUAGUCCUGCCUCGUACUCCCCUGACUCUGAGAUUGAGAAGUAAAACAGAACCCCAACAUUUCCUACCCCCGUUAGAAGAAGAUUAACAUUCUGACAGUUGUGGUCGCCUGGAGUACUUUUAGAUUAUUAGCACUCGUUUUCCUUCUUCGUGGGUGUGUGUUUGUGUGUGCACGUGUAUAUGAUAGGCACAUGCAUCUUCUGUAUGGACAGCAGUGGGGUGAUACCUAUAGGAGAGCAAAUGUUAAUUUCAUGCUUUUAGUCAAAACAUUUAAAAACAAAGAUCUUUAUUGGGUGGAAUUAUAUUUGAUGUGGAUAUUUGAUCACUUAAAACUUAAAAACUUCUAAGUGAUUUGCCAAGCUCUUUGACUGCUCACCAAUACCCUCUAAAAAUACUAGUUAUUCUUCCUGUCUGUGUAAUAGUAAGACAUUCAUAUUUGUACUUGCAUUACUGGUAGUUCUUUCUCAGUCCACUGAAUGUUCCCAUGUGCCUCUUUUAUGCCAAAUUAAUUGUCAUAUUUUAGGUUGGGACCAAGUGGUUUGCCCAUGCAAACCUAAAUUUAUGCCUUGCUGAUGCCUCUCAGAAAAUUGAACACACUCUGAAGACAGCUCUUCUUGGGCAAAAAAGAAAAAUAUGUUUCCUUCCCUAAUUGUGUUGCUGUCCAAAAUAUUAUCAUAUGCAGAGGGAGCUGCAUUUCUUUAUACAAAUGCAAUGGCUCCUGCUGCUCUUUUUCCUUCUAAAUAUUUGUUUUACUAAUAUCAUUUGUGACUUUGGAAGUCAAUUUUUAUGAAAGGAGGGAAGAAGCAGAUGGACUUGAAAAAGAUCCCAAUUCCUAUUCUCUAUUGGAAGAAGUCAGGUAUGAAAAUCUUUGUAGUAAACUUUUUUACAAACUAAAGUUGCACCUUUCAAUACGCAGUAAAUCCUCAUUUAUUUGAUUUCAAUCUUGGACCUUAUCCAUCCUUGUUAGUUGUCAGCUUCCGGAAAAGGGACCACAGCAGCAGGGCCCUCUUGCUUGGGCAUCAUUGAGCCCGUUCAUUCUCUUUAAAUCAGACUUGUAAUGGCUCCCAAUUUUCUGUCACACCAAUUUAGAAUUUCUGACAAUGUUUUGAGCAUCAUACAUCUGUUUCCCCUCAUAAUCUGCUUUUUACUCACUGAUCCCAAUUUUUGCCAUCGACUCUUCCAUUCAGUUUUAUUUAUUGUACGUCCUCAGAGUGAUGCCAUUUGUCAUUUUUGCAACAACCUUUCUGGCCUUUUUGGCCAAAUAAAAUUUUCUGUCUCCUUCAAAACAUUAUCCGCCAGCCCUCCCUUCCCCCCGGCUCUCCUUUGCAGCCGCCUCUUGUCAUCUCUUACUUACCUUUCCUACUACUUGAUGUGUUUCUGCUUAGCUCUGUUGAGUUUUUCUUUUUGUCUUGCUUUUCUCACUGGAUUUAAAAAUUCCUCCACUCGUAGCAGGAGCCUUUUUUCCUUCCUUUCUCUUCCUGCAGUGUUUUGCAUACAUUAGGC
rnacentral:lncRNA from 1 species